UUUUAGAAGAGAAACAUCUGCUAUUAUGGUUGAAAUUGUGCAUUCCUCUCCUCCGAAAGAUGCAAACUUUUAAAACACGCCCGCCGCUUUGGGCUGGAGCGACCCCCGCUUCCGGGCUGGGUGGGGAACGCCGGCGGCCGCGCGGUCCCCCAGCGCCGGAGCGGGAGGCUGGCGCAUCCCCACCAGGGCUCGCUGUUUUACAGAUCCAAAAAGGCUUGGGAGGACUAAAGACACUUGCUAAAGGUGGCCAUCAAGUAGGCAAGAGAGCUAGAAGCUGAGAGCUGCACUUUCCACAAGUCCUCACCGCCGUCAAAUCCCUAGACCUGGGCUUGCUCUAACAGCAAUGAAAGAAAACUUGGAAAGCUACAAAAGAUCGUCGACUCUGAACUAUUACUGGGGUGGGCAGAGAUGCCCCAGGUGACUGGACACCAUUAGGCAG
rnacentral:lncRNA from 1 species